CUCUCCGCUCCGCUCCCUUACUGCAGUGAGAAGGGUCUGUCACAUACUCGAUUGCAAGAGGGCCGCCUGGCUGGCUGGGAGAUGCUAGGUUUGGACGAUGUGAGGCGGAGAAGCUGCCCUGGGGAUGCUUAUCAAGGGCGCUGGGAGGGUCCGUUCUCCUCUGCCCAUCUGAUCAUUGAUGAGUUUGUGACGGGAACCAGCCAGAAUAGAACAGUUUCCAUGAAUAACUGGAGGACUGGGGGUCUCUAAGAACAUCCACUCAUGGACCCAAAUAGAGAAAGCAGCCCUGCAUUUUACACACUGCACAUUUCCUCUUUGGAUGGCUCCCACUCUUUGAACACAGCAGCUAAAGGAAUCACCACUAUACUCCAACAUGUGGCACGUCCUGUGAACUCUCUCUCUCCUGGUUAAUUAGUUGUGAGGUCCAAGCAUGCUUUCACUAAGUGACAGACCAUCCUGAUUUCCCUUUGGCAUUUAUUAUUAAACAGUGAUGCUGGCAUUCCAGCUACAA